rnacentral:rRNA from 1 species
CCUACGGGGGGCAGCAGUAGGGAAUAUUGCUCAAUGGGGGAAACCCUGAAGCAGCAACGCCGCGUGGAGGAUGAAGGUUUUCGGAUUGUAAACUCCUUUUGUUAGAGAAGAUAAUGACGGUAUCUAACGAAUAAGCACCUGCUAACACCGUGCCAGCAGCCGCGGUAAUACGGAGGGUGCAAGCGUUACUCGGAAUCACUGGGCGUAAAGAGCGCGUAGGCGGGAUAGAUAGUACGAUGUGAAAACCUAUGGCUUAACCCUAGAACUGAAUUUGAUACUGUUAUUCUAGAGUAUGGGAGAGGUAGGCGGAAUUCUUGGUGUAGGGGUAAAAUGCGUAGAGAUCAAGAGGAAUACUCAUUGCGAAGGCGGCCUGCUAGAACAUAACUGACGCUGAUGCGCGAAAGCGUGGGGAGCAAACAGGAUUAGAUACCCUUGUAGUC